rnacentral:lncRNA from 1 species
UAAUAGUACAUGUUUAAGUAAUUUUAUUCAAGAAGAAAAGAUGAAGUGUAUAUAUUCUGGGCUCUCGAAUAUAUGAGAAUACAUUUUUGUUGAUAUCAUACAUCAUUCAAAACUUAGAUGUGUAUGAGUGUCUGUGUGGUGUAGUCAGUUAAGCUCUGGACGCUUGGUUUCUACACAGGUCAUGAUCUCAGGGUCAUAAGAUCAAGCUUGCGUUGGGCUCCACACUCAGUGCAGUCUGUUUGAGAUUCUCUCUCCUCUCCCUCUGCUCCUCCCACUCAUGCUCUUUCUCUAAUAAAUCUUUUCUUUUUUUAACUUGGAUAUGUAGAAAAAUCUUGAUUUACAUUUUUUUUCUCCUCAGAACUCUAAAGGCUGUUUUUUAACCCUUAGUAUCUCUGAAACAAAAGUAGAAAUUAUGAAAGUUUUGGGCUAAUUCUUUUGUCUGAAGAGUUACAGUUUUUAUUGUCCUUAUCACCUAAACUUUUUUUUUCUUAUCACCCAAACUUUUUGUGAAAAUGUGGUAGAUAUGGUUCUUGCAGCAGGCAUUAUCAGCAAUAUACCCAGCAGUCAUUCUCUUUCUUCUUUAUCAACAGAAGGUGAAUUUUGUUUUGAACAGUAAUAUUCUCAACCUUCAUGGUAGUUAAAGGUGGCCAUGUAACACAAUUUGGCCAGUGAUCUAAUAACACAUGAAGGAGGGUUUUAUUUUCUUCAUAUAUCUCUUCUUUAUUGCUUCUUUCUUCCUGCUCUUGAAACUGGAAUGAGACAUUGGAGAUAAAGCAGCUUCCAUGUAACCAUUCUUCAUUCAUGUUUACUGGCAACACAUCAGUGAACAAAACAGUCAAAAGCCUCUUCCCUAAACUUAGGUGCAGUAUAUCAACAUAUAAUAAUAGAAUUAAAUAAAUGAAAUAUGCAGAAUACUGAUAAGGGUUAUGGGAAAAAAUAUCAGAGUUUGGAUUCGCAAGAGGCGGUUGGUGCAACAUUAAAAAGGGUGAUGUGGAAUGCCUCACUGAUGAUACUUGAGUAAAGUCAAAAAAAGUGAGGGUGCAGGUCAUGCAGUUAGCUAGAGGAGGAACAGCCAAUGGAGUUGGGAAAAACCAAUGCAAGGACUUGAGCCAGAAAGGUGACUGCUAUAUUUAAGGAACAGCAAGAAGCUGGUUUGGCUAAAGUUCCAUAGGGAUAGGGGUACUAGCAGGAUAUGAGGUCAUAGAGAAAACAGGGAGACAAUUAGUACAGAGUUAUUAGGCCAUUGUGUAGAAUUUGGCAUCUAAUUUUGAGUGAGAUAGAAAGCCACUAGAGGAUUUUGAACAGGGCAGGAAAUGUUCUGAUUUACAUUUUUAAAAGAUUUUGUUUUUAAACUUUUUGUUUUUAGACUUAUAGAAAAAAAUGCAAAGCUAGUACAAAAAUUUCCCUUAUAUCCCUUACCCCACUUCUCAAUUUAACACCUUGCAACAAGAACAAGAAAUUAACAUUGGUGCAAUAUUAGCUAAACUACAGGCCUUAAUCAAAUUUCACAUAUCUUUUCCACUUAUGUCAACUUUCUGUUCCACAAUCCUAUCCUAGGUCCCAUAUCGCAUGUAGUUGUUCCCCCCACCCCCACCCCCAUCCUUAGUCUCUUCCAGUCUGUAACAGUUCUUCACUCUUUUGUCUGUGGAUCUUGACACUUUAGAAGAAUACUAAUCAGUAAUUUUGAAGAAUGCCCCAGAAAAUGAGUUUAUCUGAUAAUUUCUCAUCCUUGAAAGUGUAUUAGUCUGCUAAGGCUACCAUAACAAAAUACCACAGACUAGGUGGUUUAGGCAACAAAAAUAUUUCUCACAGUUCAAGAAGUCCAAGAUCAAUGUUCCAGCCAAUUCAGUUUCUGGUAAGAGUCCUCUUCCUGGUUUGUGGAGGGCAGCAUUCUCAGUGUCCUCAUAUAACAUUUCCUCAGUUUCAGCAUACUGGCUUAGUGCAUUUGUGCUGGGGUGAGUGUAUCGAGAGGAGGGUUGCAUUCUGAUGUCUCCUCUUAAAAGGACACUAAUCCUGGGAUGCUGGGUGGCUCAGCAGUUGAAUGUCUGCCUUCAGCCCAGAGUGUGAUCCUGGAGUCCAGGGACCGAGUCCCACAUCAGGCCGCCCCUUACAUGGAGCCUGCUUCUCCCUCUGCCUGUGUCUCUGCCUCUCUCGAAUAAGUAAAUAAAAUCUCUAAAAAAAAAACAAAAAACAAAAAACAAAAAACACUAAUUCUAUUGGAUUAGGGCCCUAUCCUUAUUAUCUCACAUAACCUUAAUUACUUCCUUAGAGCCCCCGUCUCCAAUACAGCCAAACUGAGGGUGAGGGCUUCAUAUGUAUGAAUUUUAGGGGGGAACAAACACUCUUAGCAGAAAGGUCUUAUAUUUUUGGAAAGACUACCACACACACUUUAUGCAUCAUACAAUGGAUUUGUGGUAUCAGUAUGUCUUAUUACUGGUGAUAUUUACCUUGAUCAUUUGCAUGGGUUGGUGUCUUCUAGGUUUCACCAUGAAUAGUUACUAUCUUAAAUUUACAGUUAAUAAUAAAUAUCUUUGGAGACUCCAAAUCCUGUUUCUUCUCAAACUUUUACCCACUCAUUUUAGCAUCCAUUGGUGAAUUUUGUCUGCAAUAGUUAUUGGGGCAUUUGCAAUGAUGAUUCAUUAACUGAGAGAAAAUCUUGGUUGAGGCAAAUUUUGGGUGUGGAUGAUAAUCAAAAGCUGGGUCCGAUCCAUUAGUUAAUUUUGAGAUGCCCAACUUCUAAGUGGCAAUGCAAGAAGACAAUUGGAUAUAUAGUGUUGAAGUUCAAAGGAGAGUUCCUGAAGAUACUAUGCAGAAGUACUGAUGCAUAAGAAUUAGAUGAGAUCAAUACAAGUAUAGACAUAAAAGACAUACAAGCACUAAGCCAUAUAAGUAACUCUAACAAUAAGAAAUUAUGGAGAAAGUGAGGAAUCCGUCAAAGAGACAGGAGCAUCCGGUAAGGUAGUAGGAAAACAAGAAUAUGGUGCUUUGGAUGCAGAGUGAAAAACACAUUUCACUGAGAGACUGGUAAAAAUGGUCAAAUGCUACGGACAGGUCAAGUAAGAUAGAGACUAAUAACUGACAUUAGAAUUAGCAAAUUUUUAACGUUGUUGGAGAAAAAAAUGUUAAAAAAAGUCUUGGUGGAGUGGUAAAGAUAAAACUCUAAUUUGAGUGAAUUUCAGAAUGAGCAAGUAGGAGUCUGAGACCAUCAGUCCAGACAAACUUUGGAGAUUUUGCUGUAAAGGAUUCAAGCCACUUUCAGUAUAAUAUCAGAAGAAAUGUAGGUGCUUGAUGAUUUCAUGAUCAACAAAACCUUAAAUAUAAAGCAGAAAAAACAAAGGAAAAAGGCUAAAACAAGCAAGAAAAUGAAAUGAAAUGGGAGAUGAAUGCAAUAUAUCAGGGUGAUUUUAGUUGAAUUUAUUUAACGAAUACUGAUAUAUUGUUUACUGUGUCAGACACUAUUCAAGGAUUUACAAAUACAAUCCACUCAAAAUACAUUUCUUCCUCAAAAUUCAUAAAUGUCCUUUCCCCAAACUUUAAAUAUACUCAGACAUGAGUCCACAAUUUUACCCUCUGUUUAUACCAUCUCCUUAAGUGAUGUUAUUCAGACUUAUGACUUCAAAUAUGUACUAAGAGCCUUUAAUUUUGUAUUUCCAAUCUAAAGGAGCUGGGAAAGAACAAACAAAGCAUAAAGCCAGAAGGAAAUAAAGAUCAGAGCAGAAAUAAAUGAUAUAGAAACUAAAACAAAACAAAACCAAAAACCAAAACCCAAUAGAACACAUCAAUGAAACCAGGAGAUGGUUCUUUGAAAAAAAGAUUAAAAAAAAAGAAACUGACAAACCUCUAGCCAGACUUAUCAAAAAGAAAAAAAAAAAGAUGCAAAUAAAUAAAAUCACAAGUGAGAGAAGUAACAACCAACACCAUAGAAAUACAGAAAAUUAUGAGAAUAUUAUGAAAAACUAUAUACCAAUAAACUGGACAACCUGGAAGAAUGGAUAAAUCCCUAGAAACAUAUAAACUACUAAAAUUGAAACAGGAAGAAAUAAAAAAACUUGAACGGACCUAUAACCAGCAAAGAAAUUGAAUCAAUAAUCAAAAACUCCUAAAAAAUGUAAAUCCAGGGCCAGAUGGCUUCAAAGGAGAUCUCUACCAAACAUUUAAAGAGUUAAUAUGUAUUCUCAAACCAUUCCAGAAAAAAUAGAAAAGGAAAAAUUCCAAAUUCAUUUUAUAAGGCCAGCAUUAUCCUGAUUCAAAACCAGAUAAAUACACAACAAAAAAUAAGAGUAUAUAUAAGCCAAUAUCCCUGAUGACCACGUAUGCAAAAAUUCUCAGUAAAAUACUUGCAAACAGAAUCCAAUAGUACAUUAAAAGAAUCAUUCUCUGCGAUAAAUGGAUUUAUUCCUGGUUUGCAAGCAUGGUUCAGUAUUCACAAAUCAAUGUGAUACACUACAUUAAUAAAAGAAAGGAUAAGAACUAUAUGAUCACUUCAAUAGAUGUAGAAAAAGCAUUUCAUAAUGUAUAACAUACACUCAUGAUAAAAGCCCUCAAUAAAGUAGGUUUAGAGAGAACAUACCUCAACAUAAAAAAAAAAAAAAAAAAA